rnacentral:lncRNA from 1 species
UAUCGCACAGAGCUAGCAUGUGUCAGAAUCCUGAGGUGUGGAGGCAUCUGCUUUGUUGUAAGAAGCGAUGUGAUAGGAUGGAGAGGAUGGUGAACCAUGGCCAGUGGGGUUGCUCUGACUGUGGGGUCAACUGAAGACAACAAGAAUGGCAGGAAAACAUGGCUUAAGGAUGGAUGUUUCCAGGUAACAGAGAAGAGGAUGAGAGCUGGGGCCAGGGACUAAGCUUUGGAGGUAAGAUGUUGCUGCAUUCCGGAAUGUAGAUGUGAGACUGGCUAGAAUGCAUCAUAAAUGAGGAGCCAGGGAGGACAUAAUGGCUUUUGUUGUUUUCCUGUACUGGAAACUGAACCCAG